UCAUCCUCACUUUAUCUCCGAAAGAAUUAGUGACCCAUCUUUGUGGCUCUUCCCCGAAACGCUAGCCCUCUCCUCUUUCUCUCCCACUCUCCUUUCACGGCCACCGCUGCCUCCAUCUCCUCCGCUCACUCCCUUACUGUCUCUCUCCCCCUCAUUAACUGCUAGCAAGCUCUCUCUCUAAAACCCUCUCCGUCUCUUUCUGGAAUUGACAUAGAUGAAGUCUAUAUAGCCGCACCACAAGUUCUUACGGGAUAUGAUGGAGCCUCCCCAGUCGCCAAACCCUAGCUCCGGCAAGCCUCCAAGGAGAACGUGCCUCUGACUUCAGAUCUAACUAUACGGCCACCAAGUUCAACGCUCCAACCAGACAGGAUCAUCAAAACCCUGGAGGUAAGCUAGUGUACCAGACCACUAAGAAGGGCAAGCGGACCCAAGUGUCUUGUUAUUGGCAAGAGUAUUCAAGGGGUAGUAAAUGGACCUCUUGAGAGAGAGGAUUGGGACACUGCAAUAAAGAUGCCUCUCGGAAUAGUUCCUGCAAGUUUGAUACUCUUGAUCUCUCAAUUAUAUAUUUUGCAGUACUUUUGUUUGAUAAGUUUGAAACCUUUAAAGUCCUGGAAGUUUAAACAUCUCAUUUCUUAUGUUCUAUCCCACAGGUUUAAACCUUUAAAUUCCAGUAUGCUCAUAUAAAAUGUGUCCAGAGGUGGUGCAAUGAGAAGGGAGAUAUCAUUUAUGAAAUCUGUCAUCAGCCUUAUCAACCUGGUUAUACUGCCCCAUCACCUCCCCCUUAGUUUUUGUAGAUUCCGGAACGAACUUCCAGAUCCAAGUGCACAACCCAAGCUCAUGUCCAUGAAGAAAGACAAAGAUCAAGCACAGCCAAGCCAUUUUGAACUCUCUGUACUCAUUUUACUGGAACUUGACUAGAAAUUGGGAGUUGAGACAUAUUGAACCCUUGAUAUAUUGAACUUUGCUGGUUGGAAAGUCAUUCAAAAGAUUCGACACAGACAUACAUGCUUUAAAUUUCAAUUGGAUCGAUAUGUGGUAGGCUCCUACCUUGAUCCCCUUAUAGUUAAGGUAUACUGAUCAGACACAUGUUUAAGGAUUUUCCAUAUGCCUCUGGUUCUCCAUCAAAAGCCGUCUGCAUUAUUGAUCUUAAUUUGUUACAGAUAUUAUUUAUAGUUGAAGACUUGUGAAGCAUACUAUGAAAGUGCUCAAUUUGUUCAUGUUUAUUGGAUUUGAAAAAAAAGUUGAUGUUAGGCUCUGUUUAUUACUAUUAUCCAUAAUAAAUUCAA